rnacentral:rRNA from 1 species
CCUACGGGAGGCAGCAGUGGGGAAUAUUGCGCAAUGGGCGAAAGCCUGACGCAGCGACGCCGCGUGAGGGACGACGGCCUUCGGGUUGUAAACCUCUUUCAGCAGGGACGAAGCGAAAGUGACGGUACCUGCAGAAGAAGCACCGGCCAACUACGUGCCAGCAGCCGCGGUAAU